rnacentral:lncRNA from 10 species
GGACGUGACCUCGCGGGCGCGCGCCGGGAGCCGCCAGACUGGGCGCCGACAGCAUCCUCCGGGGGUAGGCGCCCACAGUCAUUCUUUCCAUCGCUGCGGACACGGGAGUCAGAAGUGAAACAGUCCUGUCCUCGUGGGGCUUACGUUCCAGGCGCAAGAGCCACAGGUAGUCGAAUUGGGAAACCGCCUCGGAUGUCACAUAAGCGCCCAGGGAGGACAGGGCAGGACAGGGCCUCCCUGGGGAGGUGACUUGAGUCAAGACUCAAAAGAGGGAAGCGAGGGAACAAGCCAUGCGAGGAACUAACGAAGGAACAUUCCAGAAAGAUUUCACAUCCCAAGCCUAAGGUCCAGGGGCAGCAGGCAUUGAGGCGGAUGUGGCUGGAGUGGAGAGAAAGAGGAAUUAAAAGGAUGGAGUAAUGACAAUAAUGGCUCACAUUUUUUAGCAAGAGGUGGGUUCACUACCUAUCUGUCGUUAUCUGGGGGGAAAUUAGGCUCUGGGAGGUCAAAUAACUUGCCCAAGGUCACACAGCUUGUAAGUGGCCAGACCAGCAUUGGAACCCAAGGGGACGGAUGUCUGAAACACACCCAGGAGUCCCAAGGUGGGAUGACCU